AAGAGUCUUUAAUAACACUAUAGAAAACAUGAUUAAAAUAUCCUAAGCACCACACACAUCCAUCACACAUCUCCUUGCUCCUCGCCUGAAAAUGUUUUAAACAAAGUGGGGUGAGUAUUUUAAAUAUACUCAGUGAGGGAGAAUUCAUAACUAACUUUUACUUUGUCCAAACGUGAAACAUAGCAUAUGAAAUAUAAAAUCAUAACUUCAACCAUAAACCAACAACUUGCUCAUAUAACAAGAGAGGAAAUUUGGGACAUAACUUCAACCACAUUUCAAUACAACACUUAAGGAAGUAUGAACACAUGGGACAUAUCACUUCAACUGUGCACAAGAACAUAAACUUGGCAUAUUGCUAUAUGCUCACAUCAUAAUCUCAUUCAUAAAUCAUAGCAUAUGUAAACACGUUGAACAUAAAAUAACUUUCACAAUAAAUAACUUAAACAUUUCUUUGCGGAAUUUAACUUGAAAUAAAAGAAUUUUCUUUAUUUUACCCACCUCAAAUCCUUGGUGGUAAACUUAACUCGGGGAUAGAGAUCCUAAUUGCGCCGCACCUAAUCACAUAAAUACAUAAUACCAUGUAAGGGCCUAAAAAAUAAAAAUAAAAUAAAUAAUAAAAUAAAUAACAUAUCUUAACUUAAAUAAUAUCUAACUAAUUACCUCAGAUAACUAUAACUUAAUACCCACUUUGGGAACUUAAAGAAAAUUAAAUCACUUAUCCUGAACUAAAGAUAUUUAACUAGAAACACAAAUCACUUCCCAAACUGGACGAAAAUCAAAAGAAUAAAAUAUUAAAAUUAACAAACUGAUCUCAAAUCAAAUACUUAUAAUCUUACUCUUAUUCUACUAUCAUUAUUCGGGUAGUAAACUAAAAGAAUUAAAUUGUUAGCCAAUAAAACUUUUUGCCAAAAACAAAGAAAUUAAAGUAAAUGAAAAUGAUAGAGUAAAAUAAAAAUAAAAAUAAACCAAAGAAUUAAUAAUAUUCCAAUUCUACACUAAACGGCAGAUAUGGUCCACUGUGACAAAUCAAUUUCACAAGAUUUAAUUUAGAAAACUUUCAGUAGUUCAUAUAGAUACCAAGACAAGUUAAAAGACUUAUACAUAUGUAAAGAUAUAUAUAAUUUACGCUAACAUCAGCAUAUUCAAAAUUUAAUCCAAAUCUCACUUUACAAUUCGGUCUCUGCUAUGGAAGAUUUCCAACAAAUAAAAUAUAUAUAUUUCGACUCAAAUUCAAAAUAAGAGUACUCAAUAAAUUAAAUUUUGAAAAGAAUCAGGAGAUCAUCGAAUGAAUGGAGAUUUGAAACCUUACUAGAGUUCCUGAUUUCUGACAAAACUCUUGAUCGCUAGACGAACUCUUGAAUCUUGAUUGCUUGAAGAACUUAAGCAGGGAGAAUUUUGAGAGCUUUUGAAUGGUUGUGAAAGAAAAGAAGAUGGCAAAAUAUAAAGGUGGAGAAUGAGGAUUUUUAGACGAUCAGUUUGUGAAACCGUCUGUGCAAGUUUUCAGAAAGGAGAGGGAGUCGGAACGGUUUUUACACGUUCAAAGCGAUAGGAACAUUUUCUUUAAAUAAAAUUAUCGGAACUGUCUACGAAAAUACUGAUGUUCUGAUAUAAUAUCAGAUAAAAUUAAAGUAG
rnacentral:lncRNA from 1 species